rnacentral:rRNA from 1 species
GGAAGGAUCAUUAUUGAAAUAAAUCUGAUGGGUUGUUGCUGGUUCUCUAGGGAGCAUGUGCACGCCUUGUCAUCUUUAUAUCUCCACCUGUGCACCUUUUGUAGACCUUUCAGGUCUAUGUUGCUUCAUUUACCCCAAUGUAUGUUAAUAGAAUGUUGUGCCUAUAUACAAUAUAUACAACUUUCAGCAACGGAUCUCUUGGCUCUCGCAUCGAUGAAGAACGCAGCGAAAUGCGAUAAGUAAUGUGAAUUGCAGAAUUCAGUGAAUCAUCGAAUCUUUGAACGCACCUUGCGCUCCUUGGUAUUCCGAGGAGCAUGCCUGUUUGAGUGUCAUUAAUAUAUAUAUAUAUCAACCUUCUCUUGUGGAAUGGUUUGGAUGUGGGGGUUUGCUGGUUUCAUAUAUAUAUAUAUAUAUGGGUUCAGCUCUCCUGAAAUGCAUUAGCAGAACGACCUGUUCAUUUGGGGUGAUAACUAUCUACGCUAUUGAAUGUGAGGGGCAGUUCAGCUUUCCAACAGUCCUCUUGGACAACUCAUCAUUAAUGUGACCUCAAAUCAGGUAGGACUACCCGCUGAACUUAAGCAUAUCAAUAAGCGGAGGAAAAGAAACUAACAAGGAUUCCCCUAGUAACUGCGAGUGAAGCGGGAAAAGCUCAAAUUUAAAAUCUGGCAGUCUUUUGUCUGUCCGAGUUGUAAUCUAGAGAAGUGUUAUCCGCGCUGGACCGUGUACAAGUCUCCUGGAAUGGAGCAUCAUAGAGGGUGAGAAUCCCGUCUUUGACAUGGACUGCCAGGGCUUUGUGAUGCGCUCUCAAAGAGUCGAGUUGUUUGGGAAU